UGGGGAAUCUUGGACAAUGGGCGCAAGCCUGAUCCAGCCAUGCCGCGUGGAUGAUGAAGGCCUUAGGGUUGUAAAAUCCUUUCGUUGGGGACGAUAAUGACGGUACCCAAAGAAGAAGCUCCGGCUAACUUCGUGCCAGCAGCCGCGGUAAUACGAAGGGGGCUAGCGUUGUUCGGAUUUACUGGGCGUAAAGCGCGUGUAGGCGGAUUUGUAAGUUGGGGGUGAAAUCCCGAGGCUCAACCUCGGAACUGCCUCCAAAACUACAAGUCUGGACCUAAGUAGAGGCAAGUGGAAUUGCGAGUGUAGAGGUGAAAUUCGUAGAUAUUCGCAGGAACACCAGUGGCGAAGGCGACUUGCUGGACUUGUGGUGACGCUGAGACGCGAAAGCGUGGGGAGCAAACAGGAUUAGAUACCCUUGUAGUCCCUGAGCGGGCUGGCAAGGCGCAU
rnacentral:rRNA from 1 species